UCCAGAUCAGAUCAAAUCUGCAUCGACUGGUUCAAGGGGUCAGAAAAAAAUCUUUUAACUUUUACAGCCACAGAAAACAAACGAGUAAAGACUGAAUUCAAGAAAAACAUUCAGUACUGUUGUUUGCAAAACUUUAUUAGCAAUGAACAAAGUUACAGAGACAAUAAAUUAAUUAGUAAUAUGUGCCCUGGACUUGAAAUAUUUAAACUGCAGUAACAGACUGAAGCUUCUCCUUCAUGGAAGGAAAAGUUCAAAGCUUCACAGGUCAGAGAGGAAACAUCUGACUCUGCAGCUACAUGGAAAUAAUUACCAUCACUUUGGUUUCAUAACACUGUCCAUCAUAACAUUUAUUCAGCUGUAGCUGACCAGUGAGUCCUGAACACUAUCGGGCAGAUCACUGAUCGUCUGUAAUCUACAGUAAUUCGUCUUUUCUUCAUCACACACACACUGUAAAAUGUAAUAUUGUGUUUAAUUAAAAAUAUUAAAUAGGCUGAACUCAAUUUUUAUCAAUUUGUUAUUAGAACUCAAUUUAAAUAAGUUACCAGUACUUUUUAUGCAAAAAUGCUGAUAAACUCGAUUAAUUUGAGUUGUCCUAACUUAGAAAAACUAAGUAAGCUGGAAGUUUUGCUUCUCAGGGCGGAAGGAUGAAAGAUGUGUUUUGAAAAUGCCACGUGACUACUGUCCUCCCUCCCUCCUGGAUCAGUCCGCAUGUUCAUGGCGCCAGCAUUUGUUAUGGAAUAUAUUGAGCAAACCUGGAGAUAUUAUUGUUGUCAUUGCUGUGGAUCUUUACUGACUUGGUGAGUAAAUGUUUACUCUUAUUCAAACUGAUUUUGUGGCUUCUCUUAGUUUAGCACCAGGUCUAUAAUCUUGCUAGCUAGUUAGUGUUAGCGUUGCUGCUGCCGCUGUGCUCAUGUUACUUAAAAAUUAACACCACAGCCUUAAAAAUCUUACAUAAAACCAUGUCGGUGAAUUUUUUUUUUGUUGAUUGUUUGAAAUAAAUAAGUGAGAUAAGAGCCCAGACAAAAUUCUUUGGGAGGUGCAGCCGUUAGGGGUGGGGUGGGUGUGGGGGGUGGAUAACGGAGCUCUCCGAAAACGUGGAAGCACUUUUGCAAAUAUGUGAUAUUUUGAUAAAUUAAGUAGAUAUUUGAGCAUUACUCAGCUACAUUCUCGCCUGAAAAUAUCUUAAAAGGUUAUUUUGUGACCCAGAAAGGGUAGUCUGGUGAAAAAGAGGAUUGCAUUUGUCGGCCACGGUUGUCGGAGCCUGUGCAUACUUAAGCGCGGCAAUGGCGGAGGAGCACUGCUGAAAAACGUAUUACUUUUUCUGGGUCACAAAAUAAACUUUUAAGAUAUUUUCAGGCGAGAAUGUAGCUGUGUAAAUUUCAAAUAUCUGCUCGAUUUAUCAAGACAUCACAUAUUUGCAAAAAUGCUCUGACGUUUUCAUGCUUUGUGGCAGCUUUAGAACAUCUGUGGCAUCUACUAAUGUCAAAUCUAGCCUUUAUUUAACAACAUAAGCAAAUUGUAUGUUACAAUGAUUGCACAGCCAUUAAGGAUCAGUUUCUGAAAAAUGUUCUGUUUUUUCUCCCUCUGCUUGCUUCUUCCUGUCUUUGAGGCUCGGGAUCGGCACUCCUGUUGUUGGACAGAAAGACACCAACUCAGUGGUAAGUGUUUUGGUUUUCCAAUAUAUUAGCAACUGUCAGUGACAUUUAUAUUAAUCAGGCUGAACUUUAAUCAUACUUUAGAUCAGCCUGUUUUACUUAUUGUUUUAUUUGUGCUUUGGUUUGGGGAAGUUGUUUCUUUACUGAUCUUUUCCUGUCUUCUGUUAUUAGACUUGAGAUAUGACUGCACUAUGCUGUUGCUGUGACUCCAGUUAAUUCUACAAGACAUGCUGUGUAAGUAAACAAACAACAACAGUUUGGUCUGCAUUUCUUGAAAGAUCACAUCCCCCAAACUUAGUUUAGAGGGUCUACACUGUAUAUAGUGAAGUCUGCAAGUUUUCUAACAGCAAAAUUUGUUUUGUGCCCAAAUCAUUUUGCACAUCAUUAGAAUGAACGUUAUUGCCCAUGUUUGCAUAGCCCUUUUUAAAAUGAUGCUUUCAUGACAAUAUUGUGUGUUGCAUGGUGGUCACGGCUAUCCAGACUGACAGUUUGGGACAUUGAAUUUCACCUCUCCGGUGGGAGGGAGCCUGAGAUUGUCUAAAUUGGAGUCUGUUUUAUACCAAAUGCAGAAAAAAAUGUUUUAAGAAAGCAAUUAAGUUCAUGUUCCAAAAAAUAUGAUUGUUUGCUUGCAGGACACCAGGAGAGAUGAGUCCUCCAUCACAGAUGGUGUGGUCAGUGAAGAUGGUCGCCUACAGGUUCAAGCUCAUUGCAUCUCCAACCCACAUCCACUGCCACUGUACUUAAGGGAAGUUAAAGACUUUCUUCUGCACCUACAUUUGGAUCACCUCGAUCCAUGACAGUCAUUCAGGCAGUAAUGCCUGGACUGGAAACAAGCCAUCCUUAAAAUAUUACAACAUUCCAGCUCAUGUGUUGGAAUGAAAAACGAAUGUGUUGUUUAAAUCAGAGACUGCACUUGUGACAGAACAACAAAUAUUUUAUGUUGAUUAUAUAAAUAAUGUAAGUACAAAACAAACCUAAACUUAUUUUCAGAAUAAUUACAUCUGAGACUUUGUUUCAUUGUAAGAUUAUAACAGUGAUGGCAAUAUAAUUUUUAUUCAGCAGAACAGUGUCCAGUAUGUUGGCUGUUGUACUUUGUUGUGUUUGAAAAUAAAAGUUGUGCUCAUUUUAACAUCAUUACAAAAAUUGUUGUUAAUUAUUUUUAAUCAUAUUCAUGGUACCACAAAUUGUUUUUUCAUUUAGUUGAACUUGAAAUGUUUGUCAGUAGGUAAACAAUUAGUAUUGUCAGAAAGUGAGAAAUAUCAAGUUAUUCUUAAUACUGCAGACUUGCAAUGUAUAAGUUGUCCUAACAGUCAUCGUAAGUAAGCUUUACUUAGUUUUUUUGAGGCAACGAGUUUCCAUAAUUUUUUUGAGUUCUGGGAACUAACACGGCUGUGUACAUUUUGAGUACAGUGUACUCAAAAUGAGUAAGCUGCCCUAACUUGGUCAUCUUACGUAAACUUGAUCCAAUUUUUUUGAGUUCUGGGAACAAAUGAGCUUGUACAGAGUACUCAAAAUAAAUACGUUGUCCUAACUUAGUCAUUUUUAGCUAAGCUUUACUCAAUUUUUUUGAGGCAACGAGUUUCCAUAAUUUUUUUGAGUUCUGGGAACUAAUUAGAUUUUACAGUGCAGUGUUUGUGUUGUCAGUCGGUUCGGUAUGUGUGACAGUAAUUAUACUGUAACAGCUGAUCUCUACAUGAGGAUUAGUUUGUGUUUCAAAUCUCACAGAAAAGGUUUGAUCUUACAAACAGCUGAACUUGAAAUGAUUCUGAUGAACUCAUGAAUACUGAGUAAAAUCAAGCUAUGAGCAACAUGAGAUCUUUUGUUUGAAAUGAGUUCACUCUGAAAUAUUUGUGUGGAGAAACACAAAAAACCAUCACUAAAUUUUGUUUGAUGUGUUUUGUUUGAUAAUAGGAACUCCUGGAUGUUCAUCAUAUAAGUGAGGCGGAAAUAUAAAGACGUUUUCAAAGAAUUUGCUUUGAACUUUUACACUGAGAUGAGCAGGUAACCUGAAAAGCUGAAUAAAUAGAGCCACUGAUUCUAAUGUUGUAAUGUAAUAUAUCAAAUUGAAGCUGAUAUAAUAGUCUAAAGAUGUUUUAUAAUAAUCAGAGAAAGGCAAAAUCAAAAUGAAAUCUAGAUGUGUUUGUCAUCUGACAGAGUAAAAUUCAGCAUCCCCUGUUGCUGUUUGUUAGGAUAAUUAUUGAUUUUCAAAGAAAACAUUGAAAAGAACAGAAGGAUUCUCAAAGCUGAGUUAUAAAACACUCCUUUGUUUUUGAUAGAACAGAUAACUGACAACAGCGGCAACAAGAACAAGGACAGCAGAAACUGACAGACUGACAAUCAGUACAACAGAUACAGCCUCUUUGUGUCCUCCUGCCUCCUUCCCUCCUGCCUCCUUC
ensembl:lncRNA